rnacentral:tRNA from 1 species
GGAGAGGUGCCGGAGUGGUUGAACGGGCAGACCUGGAAAGUCUGUGUAUCGGAAACGGUACCGAGGGUUCGAAUCCCUCCCUCUCCGCCA